UGGAGAAUAUUGGACAAUGGGCGAAAGCCUGAUCCAGCCAUGCCGCAUGAGUGAAGAAGGCCUUUGGGUUGUAAAGCUCUUUUAGUGAGGAAGAUAAUGACGGUACUCACAGAAGAAGUCCUGGCUAACUCCGUGCCAGCAGCCGCGGUAAUACGGAGAGGGCUAGCGUUAUUCGGAAUUAUUGGGCGUAAAGGGCGCGUAGGCUGGUUAAUAAGUUAAAAGUGAAAUCCCGAGGCUUAACCUUGGAAUUGCUUUUAAAACUAUUAAUCUAGAGAUUGAAAGAGGAUAGAGGAAUUCCUGAUGUAGAGGUAAAAUUCGUAAAUAUUAGGAGGAACACCGGUGGCGAAGGCGUCUAUCUGGUUCAAAUCUGACGCUGAAGCGCGAAGGCGUGGGGAGCAAACA
rnacentral:rRNA from 1 species